rfam:Felis catus isolate Cinnamon breed Abyssinian chromosome D4, whole genome shotgun sequence.
GCCUGGGUGGCUCAGUCGGUUAAGCGUCUGACUUCGGCUCAGGUCAUGAUCUCGCACUCCGUGAGUUCAAGCCCCGCGUCAGGCU